GGGGAACCAGGACUUUUACUGUGAAAAAAUUAGAGUGCUCCAGGCAGGCCUAUGCUCGAAUACAUUAGCAUGGAAUAAUAGAAUAGGACGUGUGGUUCUAUUYUGUUGGUUUCUAGGACCGCCGUAAUGAUUAAUAGGGACAGUCGGGGGCAUCAGUAUUCAAUUGUCAGAGGUGAAAUUCUUGGAUUUAUUGAAGACUAACUACUGCGAAAGCAUUUGCCAAGGAUGUUUUCAUUAAUCAGGAACAAAAGUUAGGGGAUCGAAGACGAUCAGAUACCGUCGUAGUCUUAACCAUAAACUAUGCCGACUAGGGAUCGGACGGUGUUAUUUUUUGACCCGUUCGGCACCUUACGAGAAAUCAAAGUGCUUGGGCUCCAGGGGGAGUAUGGUCGCAAGGCUGAAACUUAAAGAAAUUGACGGAAGGGCACCACCAGGGGUGGAGCCUGCGGCUUAAUUUGACUCAACACGGGGAAACUCACCAGGUCCAGACACAAUGAGGAUUGACAGAUUGAGAGCUCUUUCUUGAUUUUGUGGGUGGUGGUGCAUGGCCGUUCUUAGUUGGUGGAGUGAUUUGUCUGCUUAAUUGCGAUAACGAACGAGACCU
rnacentral:rRNA from 1 species